GGUUAAAAUAAUUAAGGGCACACAAAGGAUGCCUAGGUAGUAAGAGCCGAUGAAGGACGUGGUAAGCUGCGAUAAGCCUAGAUAAGUUGCAAUCGAACCUAAGAGUCUAGGAUUUCCGAAUGGAGCAAUCUAUUAAGAUGGAGUCUUAAUACGAAAGAGGGAACCGCGUGAACUGAAACAUCUAAGUAACUCCAGGAAAAGGAAGUAAAAACGAUACCCAAAGUAGCGGCGAGCGAACUGGGUCAAGCCUAAACCUUAAAUAUGUCAAGGAUACAGCCGUUGUAUUUAAGGNGUAGAGGGACAGAGUAGUGAAGAACUGUAAGAUAUUCAAUAUAGUGUAUUGAUGAAUUAGAAUUGUCUGGAAAGGUGAACCGUAGAAGGUGAAAGUCCUGUAUAAGUAAAUCCUUACACAUAUAACUUUGCUCCCAAGUAACAUGGAACACGAGGAAUUCUGUGUGAAUCAGUGAGGACCAUAUCUCAUAAGGCUAAAUACUCU
rnacentral:rRNA from 1 species